rnacentral:rRNA from 1 species
UACGUAGGGUGCGAGCGUUCAUCGGAAUUACUGGGCGUAAAGUGUGCGUAGGCGGCCGAUCAAGUCGAGUGUGAAAGCCCCGAGCUUAACUUGGGAACUGCGCUCGAAACUACUUGGCUAGAGUGUGGCAGAGGGAGGUGGAAUUCCACGUGUAGCGGUGAAAUGCGUAGAGAUGUGGAGGAACACCGAUGGCGAAGGCAGCCUCCUGGGCCAACACUGACGCUCAUGCACGAAAGCGUGGGGAGCAAACAGG